GGUGAAUAUCGCAUCAUAAGUAGCAUAGAAUCAAAAGUAUGGACCAAAACAGAACGAUUUCAAUGAUUAUCUUCUAAAACUAGUGGGGUCCAAUGGAUGCCUGUGGCAACCAGUUUGAAGGUCGUCUAUAGAGUGUUUCAUACUGUGAACCUUUCCAGAAUUCCUUCUCCACAAAAACAUUGACCUGACCUGUCUGCUAUAUGAGUAGGACCCUGCUCUCAGACUCAUAUAGCUGUAGCUGACCUUAGAAAUGGAGACCACCAACUGCUCUAUGCUACAAUGUUUUUGGGAGCUGCUAGAUUAGAGCUGCCCCUCCUAGGUCACAUGUAUGAUUUUAUAUUGGUCCUUCCGGAGACCCUAAACUUGUCUAAAUAAAGAGAAGAAAGAAACUAA